rnacentral:lncRNA from 1 species
GGAGCAGAAGGAGGGGUUACGUGGAGCCGGCGCUGCCGCCGCUGAGGGCGCGGGGUGGGCUGAGGGGCCAUGCCGCCGCCGCGCAGCAGCAUGGGCUCUGAGCUGUGAAACACAUCAGAGAAGGUGAGGAAGAAGCUCGUUCCAUGAUGAAUGCUGCUUUGUGACCUGUGUUCCUACUGCUAUUUGGGAUAGCAAGGGUGAGAUCUGGUUUUCCUGUACAAACCUCAGUGUGGAUAUACCUUUACAUAGCUCUGAAAUGAAAAGGUUGCUUCUGCUUCAGGAAUUGCUAUCUUAUUAAAACAGUUGUGUUCCACAGCAUAAGUACACGUGCCACAGUGUGGGAUUGUACAUCUGUGUUACCAUAGCAAAUGGGAAAACAAUUCCUGCAGGUUCUGUGGAGCAGUAUUAGGCCUGGACAAGUCUUGCAGUGGAUGACCUUCUUGUGGCUGUGCAAGAAAAAACUGGCAAGUACCCAGAUCUUCGAGGAUAAGUAUUAAUUGUCUGCAGACUGUCUGGCAAGAGGAGUAACUAUGAUGCAAGGAUAUUGCUGUGCAUCUAAUCUUGCUUCUUUGCAACUCCGGUGCUUUUUCAGAGCCUGGAUUUGCUUUAUUGUAUGGUAAUUGACCACUGUUAGCACAGGCAAUAAGUUAUUGGAGUGUGGUGAUCUGCAUCUAUCUAGCUGCUAAACCCAUCCUGUUAGCUAGAAUGGGGUUUUUUUUUGGAGUCACUUAUGCCCCAGAGCUUUUCUUGCCUCACUAAUUUCAUGGCCCUCUGGUUAAGCAGUGAGAUUUGUGUGGCAGUGUUAGAGCCUGUUUUACAGAGCAUGCAAUUUGUCUGCAUGCACGGAAUCAGUAUGAGAUUUAAACCCUGUUUAAGACCUUUUUAAGCUCGUUGGGUUUUACUGCUGCAUAGUUUUUUGUUGGCUUUUUUUUUUUUGCCUUACAGAAGUGAGGGAGUUUGACUUGGUAGGAAUAACAGGUAAAUUGUUUUUGAGGAGGCUUCUUCCUUUAUUCUACAUCGUGGAAAUGUUCUGUUUAGAACAGAGGGAAUGACUUGCUGCAGUCUGUGAAAGUGGAAUUUGAAUCUUUGGUUGCAAGUCACUUUAGGACUCAGAAUUACACUGCCAAAAUGAGUGGGAUCUUUAUAGGUUUCUUUGGGAUCAUAAUGCCUUCUACCUCCGUUUAGUAGUUUUCCAUAUUGAAAAGGGAAUCUGUUUGUGCUCAUAACUGUUGUCAAGGUUUGUUCUUUGCCAGCCUGAUCUGAGGACUUUCCUUAGUUUCUGACUUCUUGAGAAGCCUGAGGAAUACAUUAGCAUAAACUCUGCCCCACCAUCUCCAGUACUUUGUUUUCUUAAUGCAAAUGUUUUGCUAAUUAAAUGGUGGCUAAAUGUUUUCUUGACUUAUUGCUACUAUGCUAAUAAUUCACUGUGUUUAGAUAAUGAGAGAAAUCUGAUUCUUUGAGGGUUUUUUCUUUCUGAAAUUUGGGAACCAAGCCUUGUUUAGACAGGAGAAACUCCAAACAGUUUACCUGAUUCUCCAAGGCCGUAAAUAAAACUUUAUCACCAGUUUCACAUGCUUCAUUCCAGGGGUUUGCUUACUUGAGUAAUUGCCAGUAUCCUUUGGGAAGUGGCGUUAGUGGUGGGAUGCCUACAGGAAAACUAUGGGCUGCUUUGCUUCCUUUCAGCUUCAGGUGGGAACCUCCCCCAGGGAGGACGGAAUCUAUUCCAGAGUCUGCAGAUGCCUACAGUGAGCCAGUGAAUUUCCUUGGAGGCUUUUAUUCUUUGCUAUUCUAUCUCUGCUUCUUUUCUUUCUGAAGAGAGCCUGUAAAUGUCACUGUCUUGAUACUGUGUCUUAGCUAGAUUGCACUCUGAUUUCUGGAAUUUCUGGGAUGCUCACGAUGGUUGGUGUUCUUAAAUCUGGAAUGAAGGAGGAGUUAACUACUGGUUUUUCAGUCUGUCUUCUCUCAUUCCACAUUUCAAGCUAGGAACUGAAAGCAAGAACCGAUUCUUUGUAUCUGGUACGUACU